AGGAGUUGUACUGGUAAUAUGUUAGUAUGUUAUAGGUAGGAGUUGUACUAGUAAUAUGUUAGUAUGUUAUAGGUAGGAGUUGUACCUGCCUGGUAAUAUGUUAGUAUGUUAUAGCUAGGAGUUGUACUAGUAAUAUGUUAGUAUGUUAUAGGUAGGAGUUGUACCUGCCUGGUAAUAUGUUAGUAUGUUUUAGGUAGGAGUUGUACUGGUAAUAUGUUAGUAUGUUAUAGGUAGGAGUUGUACUGGUAUUAUGUUAGUAUGUUAUAGGUAGGAGUUGUAUUGGUAAUAUGUUAGUAUGUUAUAAGUAGGAGUUGUACUAGUAAUAUCUUAGUAUGUUAUAGGUAGGAGUUGUACUGGUAAUAUGUUAGUAUGUUAUAGGUAGGAGUUGUACUGGUAAUAUGUUAGUAUGUUAUAGGUAGGAGUUGUACUGGUAAUAUGUUAGUAUGUUUUAAGUAGGAGUUGUACUAGUAAUAUGUUAGUAUGUUAUAGGUAGGAGUUGUACUGGUAAUAUGUUAGUAUGUUAUAGAUUAGAGUUUUACUGGUAAUAUGUUAGUAUGUUUUAGGUAGGAGUUGUACUGGUAAUAUGUUAGUAUGUUAUAGGUAGGAGUUGUACUGGUAAUAUGACAGUAUGUUAUAGGUAGGAGUUGAACUAGUAAUAUGUUAGUAUGUUAUAGGUAGGAGUUGUACCUGCCUGGUAAUAUGUUAGUAUGUUUUAGGUAGGAGUUGUACUGGUAAUAUGUUAGUAUGUUAUAGGUAGGAGUUGUACUGGUAAUAUGUUAGUAUGUUUUAGGUAUAAGUUGUACCUGCCUGGUAAUAUGUUAGUAUGUUAUAGGUAGGAGUUGUACUGGUAAUAUGUUAGUAUGUUAUAGGUAGGAGUUGUACCAGCCUGGUAAUAUGUUAGUAUGUUAUAGGCAGGAGUUGUACCUGCCUGGUAAUAUUUUAGUAUGUUUUAGGUAGGAGUUGUACUGGUAAUAUGUUAGUAUGUUAUAGGUAGGAGUUGUACCUGCCUGGUAAUAUGUUAGUAUGUUAUAGGUAGGAGUUGUACUGGUAAUAUGUUAGUAUG
rnacentral:lncRNA from 1 species